rnacentral:rRNA from 1 species
GUUGAACGCUAGCGGCAGGCUUAACACAUGCAAGCCGAGCGGGGGAAAGUAGCUUGCUACUGGACCUAGCGGCGGACAGGUGAGUAAUGCUUAGGAAUCUGCCUAUUAGUGGGGGACAACAUUCCGAAAGGAAUGCUAAUACCGCAUACGUCCUACGGGAGAAAGCAGGGGACCUUCGGGCCUUGCGCUAAUAGAUGAGCCUAAGUCGGAUUAGCUAGUUGGUGGGGUAAAGGCCUACCAAGGCGACGAUCUGUAGCGGGUCUGAGAGGAUGAUCCGCCACACUGGGACUGAGACACGGCCCAG